UACAGAGGGUGCAAGCGUUAAUCGGAAUUACUGGGCGUAAAGGGCUUGUAGGUGGCCAACUAAGUCAGACGUGAAAUCCCUCGGCUUAACCGGGGAACUGCGUCUGAUACUGGAUGGCUUGAGUGUGGGAGAGGGAAUGCGAAUUCCAGGUGUAGCGGUGAAAUGCGUAGAUAUCAGGAGGAACACCUGCGGUGUAGACGGCUUUCUGGACCACUACUGACACUGAGACACGAAAGCGUGGGUAGCAAACAGG
rnacentral:rRNA from 1 species